AAAUAGAUACCCCGGUAGUCCACGCCGUAAACGAUGUGCACGAGAUCGAGGGAGGUACUGACGCCUCUCUCGGUCGAAGUAAAAACGAUGAGUGCACCGCCUGGGGAGUACGGUCGCAAGGCUAAAACUCAAAGGAAUUGACGGGGGCUCACACAAGCGGUGGAGCAUGUGGCUCAAUUCGAAGCAACGCGAAGAACCUUAUCCUGGGCUUGACAUGCAUGGAUUAGUUCCUGGAAACAGGAAUGACACUCUCGUAGUGGAACAUGCACAGGUGCUGCAUGGCUGUCGUCAGCUCGUGCUGUGAAGUGUCGCGUUAAGUCGCUUAACGAGCGAAACCCCUAUCACUAGUUGCCAACGGGUCAUGCCGGGGACUCUAGUGAGACUGCCGGUGUUAAACCGGAGGAAGGUGGGAUGACGUCAAGUCCUCAUGGCCUUUAUGCCCAGGGCUGCACACGUGCUACAAUGGUGCGAACAGAACGAUGCAAGACCGCAAGGUGGAGCAAAUCGCCUAAAC
rnacentral:rRNA from 1 species